rnacentral:rRNA from 1 species
GAUGGAUUGGUGCCUUCGGGAACUCUGACACAGGUGCUGCAUGGCUGGUCGUCAGCUCGUGUCGUGAGAUGUUGGGUUAAGUCCCGUAACGAGCGCAACCCUUGUCCUUAGUUACCAGCACGUUAUGGUGGGCACUCUAAGGAGACUGCCGGUGACAAACCGGAGGAAGGUGGGGAUGACGUCAAGUCAUCAUGGCCCUUACGGCCUGGGCUACACACGUGCUACAAUGGUCGGUACAAAGGGUUGCCAAGCCGCGAGGUGGAGCUAAUCCCAUAAAACCGAUCGUAGUCCGGAUCGCAGUCUGCAACUCGACUGCGUGAAGUCGGAAUCGCUAGUAAUCGUGAAUCAGAAUGUCACGGUGAAUACGUUCCCGGGCCUU